rnacentral:rRNA from 1 species
UACGGGGGGGGCAAGCGUGGUUCGGAAUUACUGGGCGUAAAGGGUGCGUAGGCGGCUUUCUAAGUUGGAUGUGAAAACUCUGGGCUCAACCCAGAGCCUGCAUCCAAAACUGGAGAGCUAGGGUUCUGGAGGGGAAAGCGGAAUUCCUGGUGUAGCGGUGAAAUGCGUAGAUAUCAGGAGGAACACCGGUGGCGAAGGCGGCUUUCUGGACAGAUACCGACGCUGAGGCACGAAAGCUAGGGGAGCAAACAGG